UUACGCUGAGAUGCGAAAGCAGAGCUUAACGACCCGACCGUCCUUUAUAGGAAGGCGGGAGAUAUCGGAUAAAAGCUACCCCGGGGAUAACAGGCUGGUACCGCCUAAGCGUCCAGAGCGACGGCGGUGUUCGGCACCUCGAUGUCGGCUCGUAUAAGGGUCGCUUUCAGUGUAAACUGAAAUGAAUAAAACAAGCUUAUAACGGUGAACUCCUAAGCACAUAUACAGAUUGUGCAGGACAAUACCGUGGGAAGCUGAAUAAUUAACUUUCGUCUUAUGGAUCUUUCAGAUCGUCAACACGCAAUUAUUAUUGGAACAUUGCUUGGAGAUGGUUGUUUAGAGCGACGAGUGAGUGGUGUACGUUUGCGAUUGGAUCAAUGUGGUGUUCAGCGAGAUUAUUUACUAUGGAAAUAUAGUGAACUCAAGAGCAUCAUUUCUGCAAAACCAAAAGCAAUACGGUAUUAUCACAAACAGCACGAUCGGCUCUAUGAAAGUUUCAGAGUGUCAACACAAACAACUCAAGCGCUUGAGCCAUAUUGGCAGAGCUUUUACAGCGAGGAUCAAAAGAAGAUACCCGCUGACAUAGCUCUAUUGCUCAAGGAUCCAUUAUCUCUUGCCGUAUGGUUUAUGGAUGACGGAUACAAGCGAAAUGAUUGCGAUGCUCUUAGAUUGAGCACAGAUUCUUUUACAAGAAUCGAGCAAGAAUAUUUACGCGAUGCGCUUAAGAAAAACUUUGACAUUGAAAGUUCUGUACAUAAAAAAGGAAAGUGGUGGAAUUUGUAUAUUCCACGAUCAUCUGCAUAUACAUUUGCAGAAAUUGUGAGGCCGUACAUUAUUGAUCACUUUCAGUACAAAUUAUUUUAGCCCCGUAACGACUGAAUUCUGCCAUUGUGGUAGAUGAAGAUAGCAGUGGCACAUCCCUGCUAUAAGAUCGCUUGUCUCCAGCUCAUGGCGCACAUGAACUGGAUGAAGAUAUAGUCUAUACACAUAGUAAUAUGUGAGUAAUAUGCACCACAUCCCGGAGGUGGAGAAGCUUCCAAGGGUAUGGCUGUUCGCCAUUUAAAGUGGUACGCGAGCUGGGUAAGUGGUUCAGAAUGAGCCCAGCAAGAAUCUUUCUACGAGGAAAAAUAAAAGAAGGAACAAAAGUAAACUGACUCAUAACGGAGGAGUCCCAAUGCCCAUAGGGUUAUGGAUAAUUCCGUGGGAAGAUUGCAAUCUCUUUUUUCUGCACAUCAAUUUGGUGUGAUGAUAGGAUUGUAUAUCCCCGUAACGACUUGCAUGGUAUGCAGAGCGCUGACUAUAAAGCAGUGCUAACACGUCAGUUCUGGAAAAAGGAAAUUUCUAGAAAAGGUAUAGUCUGUACUGCUGGGAACAGCAGAAUAGGAAACGUCAGACCGUACAGGAAGCGAGUAAUCGUUUCUUGUACAAAUCUGAACCCCAUAGAGAGAAGUUAUAUAAAAGUCUUUUCGUCUACAAAGAUAUACCAACCGAGACACGGCGGCGUAUGUGCAGCAAUGUGCGUACGAUAAGCUAACUCAUAUCGAUAAAACCCCAACCGGGGCAAUGUCGAGGGAACGAUACAUUCGUAUUGACCCGUAGAGACUACACGUUAGCCACCCUUAGUAGGGUGAAGGCAUAGUCCAAUCCAUCUGGUAACAGGUGAAAAGGUGCGUGAGACAGGUUGGUCUCCUAUCUGCCAUGGGCGUUGAUUCUUGAGGGGAGUUGUUCAUAGUACGAGAGGACCUGAAUGAACUGACCUCUGGUCUACCGGUUGUCACGCCAGUGGCACGGCCGGGUAGCUAUGUCGGGAAUGGAUAACCUCUGAAAGCAUCUAAGAGGGAAGCCAACCCCAAGAUUAAGAAUCGUUUGAGGACCCUAGGAGAUGACUAGGUUGAUAGGCUCUAGGUGUACGCGCAGUGAUGCGUUCAGCCGAGGAGUACUAAUGAUCCGAUUCUCGCUGGGAU
rnacentral:rRNA from 1 species